AUGCACCGAAGCUGCGGCAGCGACGCUUAUGCGUUGUUGGGUAGGGGAGCGUUCUGUAAGCCUGCGAAGGUGUGCUGUGAGGCAUGCUGGAGGUAUCAGAAGUGCGAAUGCUGACAUAAGUAACGAUAAAGCGGGUGAAAAGCCCGCUCGCCGGAAGACCAAGGGUUCCUGUCCAACGUUAAUCGGGGCAGGGUGAGUCGACCCCUAAGGCGAGGCCGAAAGGCGUAGUCGAUGGGAAACAGGUUAAUAUUCCUGUACUUGGUGUUACUGCGAAGGGGGGACGGAGAAGGCUAUGUUGGCCGGGCGACGGUUGUCCCGGUUUAAGCGUGUAGGCUGGUUUUCCAGGCAAAUCCGGAAAAUCAAGGCUGAGGCGUGAUGACGAGGCACUACGGUGCUGAAGCAACAAAUGCCCUGCUUCCAGGAAAAGCCUCUAAGCAUCAGGUAACAUCAAAUCGUACCCCAAACCGACACAGGUGGUCAGGUAGAGAAUACCAAGGCGCUUGAGAGAACUCGGGUGAAGGAACUAGGCAAAAUGGUGCCGUAACUUCGGGAGAAGGCACGCUGAUAUGUAGGUGAAGUCCCUUGCGGAUGGAGCUGAAAUCAGUCGAAGAUACCAGCUGGCUGCAACUGUUUAUUAAAAACACAGCACUGUGCAAACACGAAAGUGGACGUAUACGGUGUGACGCCUGCCCGGUGCCGGAAGGUUAAUUGAUGGGGUCAGCGCAAGCGAAGCUCUUGAUCGAAGCCCCGGUAAACGGCGGCCGUAACUAUAACGGUCCUAAGGUAGCGAAAUUCCUUGUCGGGUAAGUUCCGACCUGCACGAAUGGCGUAAUGAUGGCCAGGCUGUCUCCACCCGAGACUCAGUGAAAUUGAACUCGCUGUGAAGAUGCAGUGUACCCGCGGCAAGACGGAAAGACCCCGUGAACCUUUACUAUAGCUUGACACUGAACAUUGAGCCUUGAUGUGUAGGAUAGGUGGGAGGCUUUGAAGUGUGGACGCCAGUCUGCAUGGAGCCGGCCUUGAAAUACCACCCUUUAAUGUUUGAUGUUCUAACGUGGACCCGUGAUCCGGGUUGCGGACAGUGUCUGGUGGGUAGUUUGACUGGGGCGGUCUCCUCCUAAAGAGUAACGGAGGAGCACGAAGGUUGGCUAAUCCUGGUCGGACAUCAGGAGGUUAGUGCAAUGGCAUAAGCCAGCUUGACUGCGAGCGUGACGGCGCGAGCAGGUGCGAAAGCAGGUCAUAGUGAUCCGGUGGUUCUGAAUGGAAGGGCCAUCGCUCAACGGAUAAAAGGUACUCCGGGGAUAACAGGCUGAUACCGCCCAAGAGUUCAUAUCGACGGCGGUGUUUGGCACCUCGAUGUCGGCUCAUCACAUCCUGGGGCUGAAGUAGGUCCCAAGGGUAUGGCUGUUCGCCAUUUAAAGUGGUACGCGAGCUGGGUUUAGAACGUCGUGAGACAGUUCGGUCCCUAUCUGCCGUGGGCGCUGGAGAACUGAGGGGGGCUGCUCCUAGUACGAGAGGACCGGAGUGGACGCAUCACUGGUGUUCGGGUUGUCAUGCCAAUGGCACUGCCCGGUAGCUAAAUGCGGAAGAGAUAAGUGCUGAAAGCAUCUAAGCACGAAACUUGCCCCGAGAUGAGUUCUCCCUGACCCUUUAAGGGUCCUGAAGGAACGUUGAAGACGACGACGUUGAUAGGCCGGGUGUGUAAGCGCAGCGAUGCGUUGAGCUAACCGGUACUAAUGAACCGUGAGG
rnacentral:rRNA from 1 species